AAUCCAUAGGUUAAUGAGGCGAACCGGGGGAACUGAAACAUCUAAGUACCCCGAGGAAAAGAAAUCAACCGAGAUUCCCCCAGUAGCGGCGAGCGAACGGGGAGGAGCCCAGAGCCUGAAUCAGCAUGUGUGUUAGUGGAAGCGUCUGGAAAGGCGCGCGAUACAGGGUGACAGCCCCGUACACAAAAGCGCAUGUGCUGUGAGCUCGAUGAGUAGGGCGGGACACGUGGUAUCCUGUCUGAAUAUGGGGGGACCAUCCUCCAAGGCUAAAUACUCCUGACUGACCGAUAGUGAACCAGUACCGUGAGGGAAAGGCGAAAAGAACCCCGGCGAGGGGAGUGAAAAAGAACCUGAAACCGUGUACGUACAAGCAGUGGGAGCACCCUUUGGGUGUGACUGCGUACCUUUUGUAUAAUGGGUCAGCGACUUAUAUUC
rnacentral:rRNA from 3 species